rnacentral:rRNA from 1 species
AGUGAACGCUGGCGGUAGGCCUAACACAUGCCAGUCGAACGGCAGCACAGUAAGAGCUUGCUCUUACGGGUGGCGAGUGGCGGACGGGUGAGGAAUACAUCGGAAUCUACUUUUUCGUGGGGGAUAACGUAGGGAAACUUACGCUAAUACCGCAUACGACCUACGGGUGAAAGCAGGGGAUCUUCGGACCUUGCGCGAUUGAAUGAGCCGAUGUCGGAUUAGCUAGUUGGCGGGGUAAAGGCCCACCAAGGCGACGAUCCGUAGCUGGUCUGUGAGGAUGAUCAGCCACACUGGAACUGAGACACGGUCCAGACUACUACGGGAGGCAGCAGUGGGGAAUAUUAGACAAUAGGCGCAAGCCUGAUCCAGCCAUACCGCGUGGGUGAAGAAGGCCUUCGGGUUGUAAAGCCCUUUUGUUGGGAAAGAAAAGCAGCAGGUUAAUACCCCGCUGUUCUGACGGUACCCAAAGAAUAAGCACCGGCUAACUUCGUG